rnacentral:rRNA from 1 species
GAUGAACGCUGGCGGCGUGCCUAAUACAUGCAAGUCGAGCGAACAGAUGAGGAGCUUGCUCCUCUGACGUUAGCGGCGGACGGGUGAGUAACACGUGGAUAACCUACCUAUAAGACUGGGAUAAAUUCGGGAAACCGGAGCUAAUACCGGAUAAUAUAUUGAACCGCAUGGUUCAAUAGUGAAAGACGGUUUUGCUGUCACUUAUAGAUGGAUCCGCGCCGCAUUAGCUAGUUGGUAAGGUAACGGCUUACCAAGGCAACGAUGCGUAGCCGACCUGAGAGCGUGAUCGGCCACACUGGACCUGAGACACGGUCCAGACUCCUACGGGAGGCAGCAGUAGGGAAUCUUCCGCAAUGGUCGAAAGCCUGACGGAGCAACGCCGCGUGAGUGAUGAAGGUCUUCGGAUCGUAAAACUCUGUUAUUAGGGAAGAACAAAUGUGUAAGUAACUAUGCACGUCUUGACGGUACCUAAUCAGAAAGCCACGGCUAACUACGUG